rnacentral:rRNA from 3 species
CAGGUUUACCUGUGUGACUGCGUACCUUUUGUAUAAUGGGUCAGCGACUUAUAUUCUGUAGCAAGGUUAACCGAAUAGGGGAGCCGGAGGGAAACCGAGUCUUAAUUGGGCGUUAAGUUGCAGGGUAUAGACCCGAAACCCGGUGAUCUAGCCAUGGGCAGGUUGAAGGUUGGGUAACACUAACUGGAGGACCGAACCGACUAAUGUUGAAAAAUUAGCGGAUGACCUGUGGCUGGGGGUGAAAGGCCAAUCAAACCGGGAGAUAGCUGGUUCUCCCCGAAAGCUAUUUAGGUAGCGCCUCGUGAAUUCAUCUCCGGGGGUAGAGCACUGUUUCGGCUAGGGGGCCAUCCCGGCUUACCAACCCGAUGCAAACUGCGAAUACCGGAGAAUGUUAUCACGGGAGACACACGGCGGGUGCUAACGUCCGUCGUGAAGAGGGAAACAACCCAGACCGCCAGCUAAGGUCCCAAAGUCAUGGUUAAGUGGGAAACGAUGUGGGAAGGCCCAGACAGCCAGGAUGUUGGCUUAGAAGCAGCCAUCAUUUAAAGAAAGCGUAAUAGCUCACUGGUCGAGUCGGCCUGCGCGGAAGAUGUAACGGGGCUAAACCAUGCACCGAAGCUGCGGCAGCGACACUGUGUGUUGUUGGGUAGGGGAGCGUUCUGUAAGCCUGUGAAGGUGUGUCGUGAGGCAUGCUGGAGGUAUCAGAAGUGCGAAUGCUGACAUAAGUAACGAUAAAGCGGGUGAAAAGCCCGCUCGCCGGAAGACCAAGGGUUCCUGUCCAACGUUAAUCGGGGCAGGGUGAGUCGACCCCUAAGGCGAGGCCGAAAGGCGUAGUCGAUGGGAAACGGGUUAAUAUUCCCGUACUUGGUGUUACUGCGAAGGGGGGACGGAGAAGGCUAUGUUGGCCGGGCGACGGUUGUCCCGGUUUAAGCGUGUAGGUGUGUGUUCCAGGUAAAUCCGGUUCACUUUAACACUGAGGCGUGACGACGAGGCACUACGGUGCUGAAGCAACAAAUGCCCUGCUUCCAGGAAAAGCCUCUAAGCAUCAGGUAACAUCAAAUCGUACCCCAAACCGACACAGGUGGUCAGGUAGAGAAUACCAAGGCGCUUGAGAGAACUCGGGUGAAGGAACUAGGCAAAAUGGUGCCGUAACUUCGGGAGAAGGCACGCUGACACGUAGGUGAAGUGAUUUACUCAUGGAGCUGAAGUCAGUCGAAGAUACCAGCUGGCUGCAACUGUUUAUUAAAAACACAGCACUGUGCAAACACGAAAGUGGACGUAUACGGUGUGACGCCUGCCCGGUGCCGGAAGGUUAAUUGAUGGGGUCAGCGCAAGCGAAGCUCCUGAUCGAAGCCCCGGUAAACGGCGGCCGUAACUAUAACGGUCCUAAGGUAGCGAAAUUCCUUGUCGGGUAAGUUCCGACCUGCACGAAUGGCGUAAUGAUGGCCAGGCUGUCUCCACCCGAGACUCAGUGAAAUUGAACUCGCUGUGAAGAUGCAGUGUACCCGCGGCAAGACGGAAAGACCCCGUGAACCUUUACUAUAGCUUGACACUGAACAUUGAGCCUUGAUGUGUAGGAUAGGUGGGAGGCUUUGAAGUGUGGACGCCAGUCUGCAUGGAGCCGACCUUGAAAUACCACCCUUUAAUGUUUGAUGUUCUAACGUGGACCCGUUACCCGGGUUGCGGACAGUGUCUGGUGGGUAGUUUGACUGGGGCGGUCUCCUCCUAAAGAGUAACGGAGGAGCACGAAGGUUGGCUAAUCCUGGUCGGACAUCAGGAGGUUAGUGCAAUGGCAUAAGCCAGCUUGACUGCGAGCGUGACGGCGCGAGCAGGUGCGAAAGCAGGUCAUAGUGAUCCGGUGGUUCUGAAUGGAAGGGCCAUCGCUCAACGGAUAAAAGGUACUCCGGGGAUAACAGGCUGAUACCGCCCAAGAGUUCAUAUCGACGGCGGUGUUUGGCACCUCGAUGUCGGCUCAUCACAUCCUGGGGCUGAAGUAGGUCCCAAGGGUAUGGCUGUUCGCCAUUUAAAGUGGUACGCGAGCUGGGUUUAGAACGUCGUGAGACAGUUCGGUCCCUAUCUGCCGUGGGCGCUGGAGAACUGAGGGGGGCUGCUCCUAGUACGAGAGGACCGGAGUGGACGCAUCACUGGUGUUCGGGUUGUCAUGCCAAUGGCACUGCCCGGUAGCUAAAUGCGGAAGAGAUAAGUGCUGAAAGCAUCUAAGCACGAAACUUGCCCCGAG